CUGCAAGCUUGCAGCUUUUCCUUUGAGCAGCAAUACAUGGGAUUGGGACAUACUUGCUUUCAUUAAAUUCUCUGUUUGCUCUACCCUUGCUAUGACCCUGAAUACAAAAAGCUGGUCUCCCCUGAUUCUUGUCUAGUAUUAUGAAGUUCAUGAAAUACCUACUUUCAGAUCUCCUGAGAUAUUGGCUCCUGCAAGAAUGCCAGUAGCAGCUGGGAAAAAAAUGGCAAACACUGAAAAAAAUCCUUCUCCACUUCUGAAAUCUGGUCCAAAGUUUUCUGCAAAUAUUGAUGCUGCAAAUAUAAGUGAGAAUGAAAUAUAACAACAGGAUUUGAUUCUAAAGUUACUUAUGAAGGAGUGUUGGUAGGAAUGACUGUCCCAAUAAAGAAGUUUGCAAUGGCAACAAGGAGAACAAUUAGAAGAAUAACUUGAGCCUAUUAAUGAAAACAAAAAGAUUCACCUGUCGUUUUUAACUUUGUUGCUGUGGAGAUGGCUAUAUACAACUGAGAUGCCGAGAAGACACACCACAGUGAUGGUCCCUAUGAUUCUGAUGUCGUUGGACUCAUCUACCAUCAGUGUAUCACUCUCCUGAAAGUGGUUAGAAAUGUUAUGAGAACCAGUCUUUCUCUGCCCAACUGGUGGGAUCAAGUAACAAGAAUGUUUUUUUCUUCAUCUCUCCUGAGGCUAAAGAUGAUGAGCUCAUCAAAUCUCCAUAACAAGUGUGGAGAAUAGCCAAGAGGAAGAAAGGAAAGAGGAAUCUCCAGAGAACAGAAGUCUGAACAAAAUCUGGACCAGCAUUCAAAAAUCAGAAGCUUGUCCAAAUUAUUCAGACCUCAGAAGUAUGAAAAACUGAGCGGGUACAGAGCAGAGAACAAACUGAAGCUACCAAAGGAAAUAUGAUCUCCUCAAAGAAAACAAAUGAGCAAACAAAAACUCCAAGAGAAGGAGUACGUAUAUUUAAGGCCUUUAGUAGGUUAAAUACCUUUGCAGCAAUUUAAAGCAUGGCUUAGAAAGCCCUGAAAUGAGCUACUGAAAUGAUGGCAAUCAUAUGUCUUGAAAUAUAUUUCUAAGAUUAGGGAGUGUGGUUGUAUAGACCUGUGUAAUUCAGUAGGAGCCCAGUUUGUUCAAAGGCACUAAACCAGAGCAUGCUUAGACAUGAAACCCUGCAAGCAUUUGUAAAAGCAGAAAGUUUUAGAAACAAAAUAUAUCUUACAAACAAAUAUAUGGCCUGAAAAUCUGGAUAAAUAAGCCCAUUACAGACAUUUUUUUAAAGUUCCAUAUUUUUGCAAGAGGUUGGACUAGACGAACUCCUAAGAUUUUUUCAAUUUCGUUUUCUCAAUGAUUUUGUGAAAUGCUUUUGGUCCUUUGGCACUGAAAGAUAAAAUAGGGCAUCAAUAUUUAUAGCUCAGCAAAUGUAAAUUUUCUCUAAAUCACAUAUCCAAAUUAUAAUUUGAAGAGCUGAUAAUCGGAUGUCCUCCAUCUUCAGUAUGAGAUACAGCUAAAGCAUAUUUUCUUAUUUCUUCCACCAGCUAUAGGUAAUAUUCUGCUGUCACCUCUCUGCUAAGACACCACUUUGUCACCCCUCAUAUUUAUGUUCGUUUUCCUGCUUAAUGUUGUGUAAGCCUCACAGCAACAUAUUACAUUUAUU